rnacentral:rRNA from 1 species
GAUGAACGCUGGCGGCGUGCCUAAUACAUGCAAGUCGAGCGAACGGACGAGAAGCUUGCUUCUCUGAUGUUAGCGGCGGACGGGUGAGUAACACGUGGAUAACCUACCUAUAAGACUGGGAUAACUUCGGGAAACCGGAGCUAAUACCGGAUAAUAUUUUGAACCGCAUGGUUCAAAAGUGAAAGACGGUCUUGCUGUCACUUAUAGAUGGAUCCGCGCUGCAUUAGCUAGUUGGUAAGGUAACGGCUUACCAAGGCAACGAUGCAUAGCCGACCUGAGAGGGUGAUCGGCCACACUGGAACUGAGACACGGUCCAGACUCCUACGGGUGGCAGCAGUAGGGAAUCUUCCGCAAUGGGCGAAAGCCUGACGGAGCAACGCCGCGUGAGUGAUGAAGGUCUUCGGAUCGUAAAACUCUGUUAUUAGGGAAGAACAUAUGUGUAAGUAGCUGUGCACAUCUUGACGGUACCUAAUCAGAAAGCCACGGCUAACUACGUG